rnacentral:rRNA from 1 species
GACAGAGGGUGCAAACGUUGUUCGGAAUUACUGGGCGUAAAGCGAGUGUAGGCGGCUUGGCAAGUCGGAUGUGAAAGCCCCGGGCUCAACCCGGGAAGUGCACUCGAUACUGCUUAGCUUGAGUGUCGGAGAGGUUGGUGGAAUUCUCGGUGUAGAGGUGAAAUUCGUAGAUAUCGAGAGGAACAUCGGCGGCGAAGGCGGCCAACUGGACGAACACUGACGCUGAGGUGCGAAAGCGUGGGGAGCAAACAGG